UAACUGACAAUAUUUCCAUGAUUCAUCUAUUAUCUCUAAUUCUACUCCUUUCUGCUUACUGCAUUUUUAAUGCCAUUAUCUCUUACUAGUGAUUAAUAUUAUUUACAUAAUCAAAUGUAUACAUAACUACUUGCUGCUCUGUGUAUGAGGGUUUGAUAAUAUGCAAAUUUCUUUAGGCUCUAUGUUUGGUAUUGAACAACCUAUCAGGGAGCAUAGCCCAAAAGAAGGUUAAAUUUAUCUCUAUUCACAUUCUUAAUUGUCUAUAUGUUUUCAGCUAAAAUGGGGCUUAUGUCUAUGACAUUUUCUCCUUCAGAAUUGGCAUGCCAUCUUGUAGUAAUGUGGGGAUAAUCUUCUUUAGUUAUGCAUGUUGUUAAAUUUUAGUGUGUAACUCUGUUAUCCUAUAUAGAAGACACUUUGUAGCAGUAGACAUCUCAUACUAUGAUUCAUUUAAAUUUUUACUGUCUUUUUGCAACCCUUCCUGUGUUAGCUUAAUGCUUAAUAUUUUAGAUUCAUAAAUUUGGAUUGGACACACCAUUGUCAGUUGUUCUUUGCAUUUUGAAUAGUUGUGCAGUCCUAUAGUUGUCUCUGUCUGGUGCAGAAUGAAGCUAAUUUCCUGACGGUGACAGCUGUACAUUUCUAUAGUUUAAAGUAUAUAUAUAGUGCUGUUACAAGAAACUGGCAGAGCUAAGUUCUCCUCCAGAUUCCAUUAUCUCUGCUGCCACAGGUUUUGGCUUAUGUUAUAUUAUUGAACAUGGUUCUCUUCUUGAUGAUGAAAUAAGUCUCAAUAAAUCAUCCGAGACAUCAUAAACACUUCAUCUGUGGUUCUAUAAUGCCAACCCAUCAUGGUAUAGGGAAGGGGAGACCUGGUGGAAAUGGAGACAAGAAGGGGAAUAGAGAAAAAUGAUCAGGUUUUAGGGGAGCAUGCAUGAAGCCCCGUUGGCCCUCAGAAAGAAUAGAAGUAGGCACCCUUGGUAGGUAGGAGGAGGGGGACUCUCUUGAAUGUACCAGAGACCUGAGAUGUGAGAGACUCUCAUAUUUCAAAGGGACAGUUAGACGAAAUUCCAUAUAGGGGACAGAGGGAACUUGUAGAGUUCACCUCCAGUAGAAUUACUGGACAUCAAAUGGAGGGAUAAGUUUUUCAUCCCAUAGUAAAAAACUCUGAUCCAGAAUUGUUCCUUUUUAAAAAGCACUUCAAGGACAAAAAUGGAGAAUGAGAAGGGAAAGGAGAUCCAGUGACAGGCCCAUAUUUGAAUAGAGCUCAAGGGGAGACCCCAAAGCCUCCCUAUUACUGAUGCUAUUGUUUGCUUACAAACAGGAAACUAACAUGACUAUCCUCCAGAAGCCCCCAAAAGCAGCUGAAAGUGUCAGAUGAUGAUAUUUCCAGCCAAGCAAUGGACAGAAGAUAGUGACCCCAGUGGUUGAAUUUUCAAAAGCUGGAAAAAGCUUAUGAAGAAGGCAACCCUAUAGGAAGACCAGCAGUCUCAACUAUCCUGGACACAUGAGAUCUCUCAGACACUGUGCCACCAACCAGGCUGUAUAUACCAGCUGAUAUGAGGUUCCCAAGACAUAUACAGCAAGAAUUCCUGGUCUGCACUAAAAAACAUGUUCCUCCAGCUGAAGUCACUGCUCCUGCUUUAAGAUACAUUGUCCCUGUCACAGUUUUGGAUCAUUCAUCAUUUUCAAAGAAAAGGAUAUACUUCAGGAACCAGUAUCUGACAAAACGAGGGUUGUGCUAUUUUCCUGUUGCCAUAACCAUCUCAGAGUUUCAAUUUUUCAAAUCCUGUUCCUAGAGUCAGGUUUAAAUUAUUAUUGCACUUUGACAAAUAAUAAUUCUUGCAUUUUGUGUUCUCUGUCUUCCAAUUCCUACUAGUAAAUCAUGUGAUAUAUACGCCAUUUGGAAAACCAUAUUAUGGUGUUUGACUGGUACUAUAUAUUCCCAUCAAAAGAAAUUUACACAUCAGAUUUCCUUGUCACUUUUCAAUAUUGAAUUUCCACUGAUUGAGCAAUUUCACUUCAUCAAUAUUCACUCUCCACAAGUCACUUCUCUGUGAUUUGUCAUGCAGAAUUAGCAAUUAUAUUACUUUGAGUUGCUCCUAAAUAUUAAAAAAAAGUUUCCAAAUGCACAUAUCACAUAAUUUCUGGUAGCCUAUUGUGUGUUAGGUUAUUUUGAUUCUUUUAAUUUUCCCUGGGUUUGGAGCAUCAAAGUGUAAGAAUUUAAGGUCUUAUGUGUAGCCUAUUUAAGAUAGGGGAGAGACAAUACGACAAAUUACAAACAGCAAUACAAGUAUUUGCAUCACUUAGAAAUAGCAGGAACAUAUCUUUAGGACUCUGAGAAUGAUGAAUUGAUAACACAGUCUGGUUCAGUUGAGGGUCUGAUGAUAUAGAGAUAGAUAUAGAGCUGAAAGUGAGAGAAUGGAGAGAGUGAGGAGAGAGAAUUAGGGAAUAGAUGAUGAUAUGUCAUAUUAUUGUGUACAGCAUUUGUCAAAGGCUUCUAUUUCAUACUAGCUUUGGGAGAAGGAAAUGUUAAGUGUCAUAAAAACCUGGACAAAUAUCUAACUGAUAUGCCUGUUAACAUAUGAAGGUAAAAAGAAUCUCUCAGUACUGAAGAUAUCUUGUACUUGCUCUCCUCAUUCUCUCUACCCAGUGGCUAUUCUUUUGUCUUCUCUCACUUUCUGACAUUUUGAUUUAGAAAGCACACCAUGAGAACAUUUAAAAAUACUGACUCUCAGUAAUAGUACUAAGUUCCAUUCUGAUGAAAUCUCCCUGAUUUAAUGAUGCUGGUGUAAAAUCUUAGUUGGUCAUUGUGCUAUUAUAGCUGAAAAAUAGAUUAUGCAGCAUAGGCCUCCAAACCAGGAUGUACUAUGUGAAUGAGUUUAGUACAUGAAAUUAAACUUAUUUGCCAUUCCAAAUAACAGAAGGGUUUACUUAGAUGAUAAAUAGCCAAG
rnacentral:lncRNA from 1 species